rnacentral:rRNA from 1 species
UACAGGGGGGGCAAGCGUUGUUCGGAAUUACUGGGCGUAAAGGGCUCGUAGGCGGCCAACUAAGUCCGACGUGAAAUCCCAAGGCUUAACUUUGGAACUGCGUCGGAUACUGGAUGGCUUGAAUUCGGGAGAGGGAUGCAGAAUUCCAGGUGUAGCGGUGAAAUGCGUAGAUAUCUGGAGGAACACCGGUGGCGAAGGCGGCAUCCUGGACCGGCAUUGACGCUGAAUAGCGAAAGCCAGGGGAGCAAACGGG